CUGUCCUGUGGUUAUUUAGAGAGUGCUACUUGAAAACACAAUAUACAGUCAUGUGUUUUUAGUGAUCAUUUAUUACUUUAGAAAAUGCCUAUAGUAGUAGGUGUUAGCUAACGCUAAAGUGGUAAUCAUAUUGCAAUAUAUCAAUGUAUCAGAUAAACACGUUGUACACCUAAAACUUACACAAUGUUAUAUGGCAACUAUAUCUCAGUAAAAAAAUUUUUAAAUGUAUAUGGAAAUAGAAAAUAUAGUACUGGAGAAAGCUCCUUUGUUGAAAGAAUCUUGCAGGAUUGUAUUCUCUUUGUCAAAUUUCAUUUAAAAUUAAAAAAGUGAUUUAGGGCAUCUUUUCUGACACAAAUUGAAUGAAUUAUAUCUAGAAUUGUAUUUCUAAUAAAAGGAAAUUUUUCAGAAAAGUAAAACCUGCCCACCUUUCGUUAGGACCAAGUUCUGGUCAGGAUGGUGUAACAGUUACAAGAAGUCUAAAUUCUCAGUGCCGUAAGACAACAAAGUUUGGUUUCUCCCUCUUGACAGUCUAAUUAAGAUGGGGGGUGCUUUGCUUCACACAAUCAUUUAGGGACUCAGGUUCUUGCCAUCCAGUGGCCCACUCUAUCCUCUCUCCAGAAGACUCAGUACCCUUGGCUGGUUCAUUUCUAUCCAGACAGAGAGGGGAGAGGACAAGGAAAUAGCAUGGCAGAUUGGCAGGAGUUUUUAGAGACCAGCAAAUAUCAUAGAAAUAGCGUGUAUCACUUCCAUCUACCCAGUUGUCUAUCUGUCCAGCCUGAACCCAGUUAUAUGGCUCCAUCUAACUGUGGGGUAGCUCAGAAAGGAGGUUUAGCUGGGUGCCAAGGAGAAGGUCAUACAGAUAGGUCUUGGUUUUAGCAAUCUGCCAAUGACACUUUAAAUGAGCAACCCAAAACACUCAAGACAGUGGACCUCUCCACAUCCUGCCAUUUCUCUUCAUGCUACUGCUCCCCCCACCUACUCUUGUCUUCCAGUGUUUACCAAAUUGUAGAAACUGUGGGAUGAGAGGGAACUGCACACCAAACUUAAAACUGAUGAAGAAAAUAAAAUUAUUUUUAUUAUUUAAGCAGAUAUUUAUAACUAACUGGCAUUGGUCUCUUUUAUCCUUUGCUUUGAACAUUGUCCUUCUCAGUAUUUAGCUUGCUUUUCCCUAUAUCGGAGGCUGACAUCUUUUAAAAAUGAGUUCCAGCCUACCAUGCAGCCUUGUGGAACCCUGAGGAGAUCCUGGUAUAUUGUUCUAUUGUGUUACUGCACAAAAACAGCCCUGGAAUUAGCAUUUAUUGAACAGCUACUAUGCAGUCAUGCUAAAGCCUUUGCAAGUGUUAAUCUCAUUUAAUCGUCAGAACAACUCCGUGAGUUAGAAUUAUCCCUAUUUGGAAGGAGAGGACACUGCUUUGAUUCAAAUCCAGACCUCUUUGACUCUAAAACCCGUGCACUUUCCACACCAGGUGGUCCCUUGACUGCCCUGCUCCUGGCCCACCCUGACUCCGCAGCCUUCCUUAAUGGCUGGAGGCCUUAUCCAAGGCUUAUCCUAUUUGACCGUGGAGACAGAAGUAACUGCUUAUCAAAACAGUCAGAUCUGCUGUGUGUAUAGAGACGAGCUGAGCCCAUAAUCAAACUAGGAUGCUCAAACCAGGGAUUAGAAAACGAACUCAAAAAGAGAUCUGUAAGUCAUAUAAACAUAAUGAGAAUGAGAUCACAGAUAUUCUGCAUAUAGUUUUUAAAAAAUUAGUUAAAAAUAUGAACAAGAAAAACGAAAUGAGUGCUUUUCCUCUAAAUAUUGGGUUCAUUUUCCAAUAUAUUUUUUCUCUCCUUUUUUCUCCUUUCUCUCUCUCUCAUACAUAUUCUCUAUCAUUGCUGACAAAGGAAACCAAAGGAAAAAAGAAAAGAAUAGAAAAGACUACUUUUUCCUUUCCCAUGGACUCCAAAUAAAGUGGACCUGGUAUCAAUUCCUACAACGAUUUGCUCUUUGCUUCCAUCUGCAUGUCUGAUCUAAUUACACUAAUAAAAUGAGAAGGCAAAGGGAGAUAUUAUACUAACAAGUGAAGUUUUUAACUUGCACAAGAAACAUUUCUAAUCCCUCUGCCCUCCACUCUCCUUUAAACAGUGAUUUCGCAUCCCUUGAUGCUCAGCAGGGGGAGUGGCAUUCGCCACCCCAGGCAAAGUGGAUCUGCAUGCCUCCACGUCAAAUUGGUCCACGUGUGAGUUAGCUUUGAAUUGUAGUGUGUUUCUUAUACUAAUAUAAUAUUGUUCUAGUGCUUGCCCCUGAUUAAAAAAAUACAUAAAUAAAUAAUUUAUAAUUUAAUUAAUAAGGUAUAAUAUGCAAAGCACAGUAAUUUCAAACAGCCUGUAAUGUCUCUAAUGUACUUUCAAUUUUUUAUUUUACAUAAGGGCUAUAUUCAUUAUGUGGUUAUGAUAAACAUACUAAUGAAUUUUAUUACAGGAACAAAUUUAAACAUGUAAAUGAGAUCAAAUAGUAUUAAAAUGCAAACGAUGGUGAAACUUAUUACAAACUAACCUUGCCAGCAUACACAGAAUGAUGUUAUUUUCAAACUUUGCAAGUUGUAUCCUUUAAACAAAGGCAAUGCCUUUUACAAUGUCCCUGAACAUAAGAAUUUGUGAACUGCAUGCCUUAUUCUCACAUGAACUCCUCAACCAAAAAAAAAAAAGUUAACUAGAAUCCAGGGUUUGCAUGUAACUUUGGAUGACAAUUAAAAUCCCUUUUCUUGUUCCAGUGAACAGUAAUCUGUGCAUAAUUACAUUCAAAUGAGAUAUUAGCAUUUUUUGUGCUUACUCUUUGUUAAUUGCAGAGUUCACUCACCAUGGUGAUGCUUUUGAUGGAAUCAGGCAACCUUAUUGACCUGAUGCCGUAAGGCGUGUUGGGAAAUUCUGCUGUAUUCUUCCUUUUUUUUUUUAUUUUGGCAUUUUGAGGAGUCCUGCUGCUUUUAUUACAUUCCUGACACUUUUGUUAAUAAAUCAUUGCAAAGUUAAUGAAAAUUGCAUUCAGGCAUAUCCAAAAUAAUUGUGUCCUUUGUCAUGCUAAUAAAUUGAAAGAUGUUGAUCCAAUGGGCGAAUGCAUGCCCAUUAUGGAGAAGUUUGUGAUCCAGGUGCCUGUUGCACUCACUUUUUUCCAUGGCAUAUCAUUCCACGUAAAACGUGAGAGAGGAAAACAAACCUCAAUAUGUUUUAUUUCAUACUUUGUACAGUGGGUCUUUAAUUAAGUCAGCAAAUGGGUGAAUUAUAUCUGCACGGAAAGAUAGAAGUAUUUGUAUUAUGGUUUAUGAAAGAUUGUUAAUAUCAAUAGGCAUCAGCAACAGUCUAAUAUUAGACUCACGAAAAUAUGAAAACCAUGUUUAACUGACCUUUCUCUCAUGCCUGGGGAUUUUUCCACUUUUAUAUAUGACCCACUUGAUUUAAAAAUGACAAUGAUAAUAAUUUAACAUUCGUUUCCCAAGGCUUCUCCUGUACUAAUUUAGGAGGAAAGUGAAGAAAUGCGAUUUAAAAAGAAAAUUUGUCUUUCUGGCAAAGCAUGAGAUCUUCUCAUUCACUAAGCCUUAAGUGUACAAGGGUGUGAGUGAAUGUGUUUGGAGGAUCAACAGAUUCACACUCACACAGUGAAGCAGGUUUGACUGUUCCAGGUAAGCAAGAGUGUUCAGUUCAGAAAAAUUGAAACUCAUAAUAGAUUCCAUAUAUAUUAUAUAUAUAUAUAUUUUUUUUUUUUCUCAAAUUUAUCUCGAGGAAGAACUCCAAGUAAUUGUUGUCUUGGGGAGUUCUUAAUUUAUGCACUAGCCCAUCAUGCUGAUUUUAGGUAGGUAUUUAUUCUGCUAUUCAAUCAAAAAGCAUAGUUUCCAUAACAACUGCCACAUCAGAUGAAACGUACAGCUUGGCAUUUGAAAUACAGGACUUCUUAGGAGAUAUGCUUCCUGACAUAUUGUGUUGAACUUGUGUUCCUUUCAUUCUCUUUUAAGCUAGCAAGAUCUGUGUUUCUAUAAAGGACCAUCGCAGUUUUGCAUAAUUAUUACAAUCCAUCUGCACAUUUCCAGGAUUUAUAUUAAAGUAAUUAAAGCCAUUUUGUAUUAGUGGGUGCUGUGUGGAACCGGCUUGGCUGCAGGAUUCUAAAAGUUCCCACUUGCCUGCUUGCUGUGCUGUAAUUUGGAGAACAGAAUGUUCCAUAAAUGAGAUUUGGGAAUACUACAUUUUUUUCUUUCUUUCCUUUCUUUGCAAAGUAACUUUUUUUCCUCCAGUGGAAAAUGGAAUAAAGGUUCACCUAGGGACUGGAAUUAAUGUAGUCCUUCUGCCUAGGGUUAAAAAAGAGCAAAAUCACAGCUAGCAACAUUGGGCAAACCCUCACAUAUUUCACUUUUUCUAUGGAGAAAUAAUAAACCUGUGUUUCUAAGGCAACUUUCUUCCAAAGAACAGCAAGCAAUUUAAUUUAUAUUCUCACUUUCUCCAGCAGCAUUUGUUCAAGGUAAACGAGGGCCAAUAUUGUUAACCCCAUUUUAUGGAUGGGAUGAUUGAGGCAGACAGAUCGAAGUUGCACAGAGCAGGUAAUGAGGUACAUCAUAGCAAGAGUAAUAAUUAAUACCUAUUAUAUCAAACCAACAGAAAGAACUAACUGAAAGUGCAUACUGCAGUUGCUGAGAAAAAAUCAUGUGAAUUCUGUGAACUUUCAAAGGGACAGUUUGGUCCACAUUCAACCACUUCUGACCUGGGAGAACCCUUGGCUUCUCCGUUGAGGAAGAUUAGCUCGAGCUAACAUCCACUGCCAAUCCUCCUCGUUUUGCUGAGGAAGAUUGGCCCUGAGCUGACAUCCGUGCCCAUCUUCCUCUAUUUUAUAUGUGUGACACCUGCCACAGCAUGGCUUGAUAAGCACUGCUUAGGUCCAUGCCUGGGAUCUGAACCGGUGAGCCCUGGGCCGCUGAAGUGGAGCACAUAAACUUAACCACUAUACCACUGGGCCGGCCCACCAGUCUAUCUCUUGAAGGGCUUUUUUUUAUUUUUGGUAUGUGUGUGUUUCAGGUAAGGAAGAACUCAGGUUUGACAAUACUAUGACUGUUAGGUAUAUGACCAUGGAAGGUAAACUUUUACUGCAUUUUUUGGUUUCUACUCACAUCCCAUAUCAUUAAACUUCUGCAACUGACAAGGUAUAGUGAACCAACCAGAAUGAGUAAAGGGGUAAAGGGAUUUUAUAACAAGGUUCAAGAAAGUGGACUUCUCUACAAACCCCAGAAUUUAAGCUGGAGAGAGUUCUCAAAGCUUGAAAGAAGACAUUUAGAGGAAGAGGAUCUGAGAGAUAUUUUGCACAGUAGCUAUUGAAAUUAUGUAACUUUACUCUAAAAGAUAGUGAAACAAAUUUAAAGAAGUUUUGAACUCAUUUUAUGGGUUUUCGAUCCCAUAAAGUUAGCAACUGGCAUUUAUCAGGAUUAGGGGUCAUUUUAAAUGGGGGGCCGAGUGUGGUGCUGGCUGCAGGUGUGGGGACAAGAACAAGCAGGGGCAUGUGGUGCAUAGACACUUUUGAUCCCUUGCCAGGCUGAUGCCGGAAGCAGAUUGCCAGGCUGACUAGACCACCAUGGGGCCCAGUAUGUAUUACAUUUCUGAUAUUUUCAACAGCCUGUCCACUGGAUUACAACCAGGUAGAUUUUCAAAAUAGUCCAUGCAGGAAUAUAUAUACACACAGUCCUAGAAGACAGUACCAAAAAUAUCUAUAUCUAUCCCAUGGUCUCUAAAGGUAAAAUACAGUACAAACAAAAGGUUUGCAAAAGUUUUGAUUGGGAGUGGAGGAAAUCCUGCUGCAUUCACAUGCUGGAGUGAAAAAAAGUUCUAAAUCUGAGCAGUGCCCGUUUUCAUUUUUGUUCUGGCAAUGUAAAAAAUAACUUGCCUUACGCACACCUCCCCUUCUUUUUUUUUUUUUCUUAAUAUAUAUGUUUUGCUCAUCCCAAACUGCCACUUUGGAAUGAUUGACCUGUUUGAUGGUUCCGUGCUUCAGCUCAAGCUUUAUUGCCCACGGUCUACUUUAUGAUGUGCUGGUGAAACUGAGCCUUUUCUUGCACGGCAAAUCAUAAAAGUCCAAAUUAUUUUGGGAUAAAUAGAACCACUGACUAACAAAAAUUCCUAUCCAAGAUUUUUUUAAAUCUAAAUGAACACUCAAUAAUUUUCAGUUUUUUAAAAAAUAUCUUUUCAGCAUAUCUAUCUUAGGCUGAGGUUAUUCAGUCUUUGUGAAGGACCAAUGUUAGGGCUGGGGAACUACUAAAGAGGUGAAGUAUAUUUAGCUGAGUAGCAAUAUUAUAGAACUGCAGUUGGAAGGCCUGGGUCGUGAUCUCUUUUCUGCCACCAAUUUUCAAAUUCAC
ensembl:lncRNA